rfam:Ornithorhynchus anatinus chromosome 3, whole genome shotgun sequence.
AGCAGCGUGGCUCAGUGGCAGGAGCCCGGCCUUGGGAGUCAGAGGUCAUGGGUUCGAAUCCCGGCUCUGCCC